GACACCACGUUGGAGUACAAAAUUCAUACUCUAUUUGUACAUUUUUAGAAGAAGGUAAUAUAAUGAAAUUUGAGUUAAAUGAGUGUUGGGAGGACUAAAUUAAAAUGGAAGGCAACAAAAAAAAGGGCCAAACGGUAAUUUUAUAUGAAGUAUGGUCAAAGCUUCCAAAGGAAGCUUUGACUCUGAUUUUUUUUAGGCCAAGACCAACCUUAUCCUUUCCCCCAGCAGAUUUUUCUUCUUCUUCAUCCAUGCUCCACGCCAUUCUUGAAGCUUCCAUGCCAUUUUCUCUUUAUCCACCAUGAAAUCAAGUUUUCUUCACUUCUCUUUCCAUGUUUUCUUUUCCUUUCUUCUCCAAACUUCUUAAGCAUUAAAUUUAUAGCCUUUAACCCCAAUUUCCAGCACACCUAAACCCUAGGAAGAGAAGAAAGAAAAAGAGAGAAAGGAAGAAAAAGCUUGGUUUUAGCGAUUCGAGUAAGGAAUGGUAAGAAUUCUUGUUUUUGGCUUGCGUAGUUUUUGAAAAUGAGUCAGUGACUCAGAGAAAUGUCUUGUAGCAGCAAAGAUUGGCUUGAUUGGAGAAAAAUUGGUAACAUGUAAGCCAAUAAACCCAUGGGUACAUGAAGGACUCAAAGUGGAAAAGGAAAACGGUAAGCUUAACACUACGUUUUAAAGCCUACGGUUAGUUGAAUAUUGUGAUGGAAUUAUGGUUGUUGAAAGGAUCUAUUUGCAUAAGCUAGUUGAAAAUUGUUAAGAUUGUAUGGCAUGUUGUUUGAAAGAAAUAAAAAAAGAAUAUUGUGGAUGGAGGAUUGAGAAACAAAGUAUUGAAAGUUAGAUAGAUAAUGAUGCGUGUAAACUAGGAAAUAAUUGAGUGAAAGUCAGAAUAAUUGUUGCUGCCAUAUAUGUGGAUUAUGUGUGGAAAUAUAAGAUGGGUUUGGGCGAAAAUUAUUUAGAAAGGUUGAAGUAGGCACAUGACAUCAUAAAUAAGUUACCGGUAAUAUAAUCUAAGGAAUUUCGUAAUCAAUGGAUUUAAGUAAUUUUGGUAAAAAUGUAUUAAGAAGUCAGUUAAUUGAAGAUGGUUUCAUGAUAGAAUGAAAAUAUAAAUUUGAGUAAGGAUUAAUUGAUUGAAGUGCUGCUCGUAUACGUAUGUAAUUAAAUAUAUUGAGUUCGCAUUAUUGCUAGGAAGUGCAAAGAUAAAGUUAGAGAACUGUGGUGGCAUGUCGGAGUAAAUAACGAGCGACCGGCCAGUGAAAAUAGUUAGAGACACCUCCGAACAAAUAGCGACUUAAAAUCUCAUUGUUGCCAAAUGAGUGAACUUGCAUUAAAAUGUCUUGGG
rnacentral:lncRNA from 1 species